rnacentral:rRNA from 1 species
GACAGCAGCAGCCGCGGGAAUACGGAGGGGGCUAGCGUUGUUCGGAAUUACUGGGCGUAAAGCGCACGUAGGCGGCUUUGUAAGUUAGAGGUGAAAGCCCGGAGCUCAACUCCGGAAUUGCCUUUAAGACUGCAGAGCUAGCAGGUGAGAGAGGUGAGUGGAAUUCCGAGUGUAGAGGUGAAAUUCGUAGAUAUUCGGAAGAACACCAGUGGCGAAGGCGGCUCACUGGCUCAUACUGGACGCUGAGGUGCGAAAGCGUGGGGAGCAAACAGGAUUAGAUACCCGGGUAGUCCCUGUCUCUUAUAC